AUGCACCUCUAUAUCCUAGUGAGUGCCCUUCUCAGCAUCCCUGUCUCUUUGGGUUGGAAUGAAGACUUACAGAUAGUGUGUUCUGGUCGAGAGUUCCGCCUGCCGGUCUACUCAGGGUCAAGAAUCGUGACCUUUACCCCCAGCUACCCUCCAGGACCAAGAAGAGUGCUUCUGGAGAACAACAACGUAGGUUAUGUGUGUGUGUGUGUGUGUGUGUGGGGGUUGGUUCUUCUAUCCUUGUGGGAACCUCAAAUCCCCAAAUGUCCCCACACGGAUAGUAAAACAUUCUACCUUGUGGGGACAUUUCCUACAUCCCCAUGAGGAAAAAGGCUAUUUUAAGUUUAGGUGUUAAGUUCAGGGUUAUGGUUAGAAUUAGUGUAAGGGGUUGGGGGUUAGGUUCAGGGAAAAUAUAAUUUUGAAUGGAAAUUAAUUUUAGAUCCCCACAAGGAUAGAAGAACAUAACAUGUGUUUAAGUGUGUGUGUGUUCUUCUAUGCUAAACACUAUUGUGUGUUUGUAGUUGAAGGACCUGCGGUUUAAGUGGACGAAAGAUAGGACGUUGCUGCUGAAUGACGUCACACACCGUGACCAGGGGCUCUACUCUAUCAAACUGUCCUCUGGAUUCACCUAUGAGACCGUUCGCCUCACUGUCUCAGGUACAGGGGCUCAGGGGCUCCCGAGUGGCGCAGUGGUCGAAGGCACUGCAUCUCAGUGCUAGAGGCAUCACUACAGACCCUGGUUUGAUUCCAGGCUGUAUCACAACCAGCGUUGAUUGAGAGUCCCAUAGGGCGACGCACAGUUGGCCCAGCGUGGUUAGGGUUUGGCCGAGGUAGGCCGUCAUUGUAAAUAAUUAUUUGUUCUUAACUGACUUGCCUAGUUAAAUAAAUAAAAAUAUAUAUUUAAAAAACUCUGCCGCAGGGAAUACCUCUCUCCAUUUCGUUGUCUAUUUUUUAAAAUCUAUUUCUUGCUCUAUUCUGUCUCUCUGUUUCUCUAUGAUAUUGUAUAAUAAUUAAUUG
rnacentral:lncRNA from 13 species